rnacentral:rRNA from 1 species
AGAACCUGAAACCAUACGCUUACAACCUGUCGGAGCGGCUUCGUGCCGUGACGGCGUGCCUAUUGAAUAAUGAGCCUACGAGUUACUAAUCACUGGCGAGGUUAAGUGCUAGGAAGCACGGAGCCGAAGCGAAAGCGAGUCUGAACAGGGCGUUUAGUCAGUGGUUGUAGACGCGAAACCUUGCGAUCUACCCUUGAGCAGGAUGAAGGUUGGGUAAAGCCAACUGGAGGUCCGAACGAAUAAGCGUUGAAAAGCUUCUCGAUGACUUGAGGGUAGGAGUGAAAGGCCAAUCAAGCUGGGAAAUAGCUCGUACUCCCCGAAAUGCCUUUAGGGGCAGCGUUGUAAUAAAGAGUCUACUGGAGGUAGAGCUACUGAUUGGAUGCGGGGGCUUCACCGCCUACCAAAUCCCGACAAACUCCGAAUGCCAGUAGUAUGAUUUACAGCAGUGAGCCACCGGGUGCUAAUGUCCGGUGACAAAAGAGGAACAACUCAGACCAGCAACUAAGGUCCCCAAGCGUAUGCUAAGUUGAACUAACGAUGUUUUGUUGCAUAGACAGCUAGGAUGUUAGCUUGGAAGCAGCUAUUCAUUCAAAGAGUGCGUAACAGCUCACUAGUCGAGCGACAAAGCGUGGAUAAUAAACGGGCAUCAAGCAUACCACCGAAGUUCUGGGCGCGAAAGCGCGGUAGGGGAGCAUUCCAUUCAGCGUUGAAGCAGCGUCGUGAGAUGUUGUGGAGCGUAUGGAAAAGCAAAUGUAGGCAUGAGUAACGAUAAUGCGGGAGAGUAACCCGCACACCGCAAGACCAAGGUUUCCUGAUCAACGCUAAUCGGAUCAGGGUUAGUCGGGUCCUAAGGGUAAGCCGAACGGCGAUCUCGAUGGAUAAUCGGUUAAUAUUCCGAUACUGACAUAUACCUCGAUGGAGAGACGAAAUCGCGUAAGUACCGCCUCCUGACGGAAUAGGAGGUUAAAGGGCGUAUGUAUAGGGGCAGAUUAAGAGUCAGUCCUUGCUGAAACCCGACAGUACAGAGAGCCUACGGGCAAUUUGAUAGUGUACCCAAGCAUGUUUCCGAGAAAAUCUUCUAAGUUAUAGUAUAUGUCACCCGUACCGUAAACCGACACAGGUGGUCGAGGAGAGUAUCCUAAGGUGCUCGAGUGAAUCACGGUUAAGGAACUAGGCAAAUUAACCCCGUAACUUCGGGAAAAGGGGUCCCUACGCGAGUAGGGCGCAGCGAAGAGGUCCAGGCGACUGUUUAUCAAAAACACAGGGCUCUGCAAAUUCGAAAGAAGAAGUAUAGGGCCUGACACCUGCCCGGUGCUGGAAGGUUAAGAGGGGAUGUCAUCGCAAGAGAAGCAUUGAAUCGAAGCCCCAGUAAACGGCGGCCGUAACUAUAACGGUCCUAAGGUAGCGAAAUUCCUUGUCGGGUAAGUUCCGACCUGCACGAAUGGUGUAACGAUCUGGACACUGUCUCAACCGUGAGCUCGGUGAAAUUGUAGUCCCGGUGAAGAUGCCGGGUACCCGCAACGGGACGAAAAGACCCCGUGAACCUUUACU